rfam:Hydnomerulius pinastri MD-312 unplaced genomic scaffold scaffold_11, whole genome shotgun sequence.
GGGCACUUGGCACAGUUGGUAGCGCGCACGCUUCGCAUCAACUUGACUGCGUGAGGUCGGGAGUUCGAAUCUCCCAGUGUCCA